CAUACACAGAAUAGAAUUGUUUGAUACGGCCUGAACCUUGGUUACCCAUUGGAAUGACGAUCGGCUACUUAAAACGAAUGUUAUCAGAGUCGAGAGGAGGAAGAAGACACUAUUCAUUUGGCAUGAUAUCAUAGUUGAGUGAGACUUGUCCAUAACUAGUGUCCUUGAUACUCCAAAAGCACCAAACGAAGUUGUCCAACUUAACCUCAACGCAGGGUUCCGCCUUGGUGACGAUCUGAAAUAGCACCAGUAUUCCCUACGCCAAGAGCCUUGUCUUCAAGUGCAAAAUCAGGGAAACACACUCGAAUCUCAUCGGCAAACUCCCACAUAGCUUCGCCUGGCGUCAGGCCUUGCCGUUGAAUAAAGAGUUGAGCAGCAGGUGUGUUGUGCCUCUUGACCAUUAUUUUGUCGAGUAUUGUUUGCGGAACCAAGUCACAAGGUCUGAGGAAAGGAAGUACAGGCCUGUACUGGAGCAUGAAUGGGCUGCAUCAUGGAAACGUGAAAAACGGUUUGGAUCUCAGAAUCUAUUGGUAGUUGUAACUUGUAUGCAACCGGACCGCUUAAACGAGGAAUCUCAAGAAACGGCCCAACGAAUAUGGAUCAAGUUGUUCAGUAACCAUAGAUUGGCUUUACAUGAACAACUAGGAUUCUAAGAUUACCCUCAGAAUGACCAUGCGGAAGACAUGUUGCCAUUCGCAAAGGGAAGCUUCAGGAAGAAGUGUUACUGAUCUUAAGACCUGUCUCUGCCAUGCGGAAUCGAAUCACUUGUUGCCAAGAACCUUUGAUUUCAGUGAUGAUCAAGAAAUCAAAAUUUCGUUAGGCUUUAGUGAUUUACAUUGCUGGGAUAAAUCAAGAAAGCAUACUGGCUUCUGCUGGAAGAAAUAAAAAACUAUGCCAGUAUUUUUCUUA